AUUUUUCAGAUUAGGAAAUUCUGACAAGAGAAUAAAGUGGUUUGUCUAGUCAGACAACUGACUAAAAAAAACUGAAAAAGAAAAUAUAAGCCCCACACGUAACCAGUACGUUUAGAGUGGCCUGGACCGCUUUCAGGGUAGAUUUGUAAACAAUAAUGAUACUCAGUAGGUAGGACUUAAAUCUUUUGGUACCACAGCAGGGAGCAGCCGCUGCCUCAGCCAGGAAAUGGGCUCCCGGGAAGCAAGCCUUUCCUACCGGAAGUCGAGGGUGGUACAGGGAAGAUAACAGAACAGAGGGACGGACGCGUAAGCAGGGGGCCCACCCGGCUCUCUCCAACCUUCUUGGAACCGAGAAGUGUCAGUCACAGGGCCCAAAGCUUUAAGGUCAUCACCAGCCCUGCUCACUUCGGAGUCAAGAUUUGCUAUGUCUGCACCAAGUACUCGGUGUUACAGGACAUAAAACAGACCUAUCAUUUCAUUGAUGUCAGACUUAAGCCUCAAUUCAUGGCCACCCUCCCUUUGGUAACUUCUAAGAUGAGGAAGACAACUCAAAGAGAGAGUCAGACGGAGUCAAGAGUCAGAGAGAGAGAGAGAGAGAGAGAGAGAGAGAGUUCCCUAAGAUGCAAAUUAGGGAUCAAAGUCAAACACUAGCAAUCUCCUCUGGUUACUAAAACCACAGAGGAAUCUUGCAUAUCAUAUUUUAUUUCCGAAACCAUUGGGGACGGGUUGCGGCACCCUCCCCUUCUACCACUGGCU
rnacentral:lncRNA from 1 species